rnacentral:rRNA from 1 species
AUACGUAUGUCGCAAGCGUUAUCCGGAAUUAUUGGGCGUAAAGCGAGUCUAGGCGGCUUGUUAAGUCAGAUGUGAAAAUGCGGGGCUCAACUCCGUAUUGCGUUUGAAACUGACAGGCUAGAGUACUGGAGAGGUGGGCGGAACUACAAGUGUAGAGGUGAAAUUCGUAGAUAAUUGUAGGAAUGCCGAUAGUGAAGACAGCUCACUGGACAGAUACUGACGCUAAAGCUCGAAAGCGUGGGGAGCGAACAGGAUUAGAAACCCCAGUAGUCC